UACGUAGGUGGCAAGCGUUGUCCGGAUUUACUGGGUGUAAAGGGCGUGCAGCCGGGCUGACAAGUCAGAUGUGAAAUCCCGCGGCUCAACCGCGGAACUGCAUUUGAAACUGUUAGUCUUGAGUACCGGAGAGGUCAUCGGAAUUCCUUGUGUAGCGGUGAAAUGCGUAGAUAUAAGGAAGAACACCAGUGGCGAAGGCGGAUGACUGGACGGCAACUGACGGUGAGGCGCGAAAACGUGGGGAGCAAACAGG
rnacentral:rRNA from 1 species